UCUCUGAUCUCCUGUUGGGGGGGUCAGUCGGUGGCAAGGUCAAGGGGUCUGUGUGUGACUUGAGAUCAGGGGUCAGCCGACCCGAAUUGGGGUUCAGCCAGUCUGUGGCAGAGUUUGAGGAUAAUUGUGGGUAGAAGUUGGCAGUAGUCGCUCUGUGGUCCGGCUGAAAUGGGCAGGGACAGUGGGCAGUCAGAAUCGGGGUAAGUAGGUCACCUUGACAUCAGGAUUUGCGGAUUGCCUCUGACAAGCCAGACAAAGAGGGGCAGUUCUCUGUAGCCCACAGAGAUCGAGUUUACAGCCUCCCCUGGCCAUUCUGUGCCGCUGAUACCCAAGCUGUGGAGAUGCCUUUCCAUCUGGGACACCCCCUGACCUCUCCUUGUGCUAGGUGCUGCAGGCAGAAGUCCGCAUUGGCCCUGACUGCUGUUAAAGUCACUCAAAGAAGGCGCAGAAAUAUGUGGCUUAGAGAAAGGUACGGCGUCUGCUCAGGGACAUAUAGGAGAUUAAUGGUCAAGACAAGACUGGAGCCCAAGCCUCAGGACCUUUCAGGAUGCCAUCCCUACCCUGAACAGGGAUUGUAAUUCCCAUUUUAGGGAUGGGCCUCAUCUACAACCCUGGGGGUGUGGGUAGGGGACUGCACAGCUCCCCACGAUGAGGCUCUGGAAAGCGCUGUCUCCUCCUCCUUGCCCACCCAGCACCCUCCCUUUUACCCAAGUGAGGAGCAAAUGGAAGCAGGGAGGGAGAGAAGACAGGGAACUGCUGGGGAAAGCUUAGCGGGGCUCUCACAGAAACAUAUGGAACUCAUUACCCUAAAUCAAGGUGGUCGCUGGCCAGCUGGCAGUUGGUGGGUUUGGGACUAAAAAGUGUGUGUUGUGUGGCAGUGUGGCAAUGAGGGGACUCAGCUCUGCACCCUCCCCAGAAUAACCCUCCUACUCAGUGGUCAUGUUCUUGCUAAACUUUGUUUUGUUUCCAGGCUGUGCCAUUUAUGGCGCCCAAAAAGGGUCUCAGGACAUGCUAGGGUACUGAGCCUCUGUAAGGUAUUCAGGAAAGGGAUGAGGACGUGGGAUGGUCAGGAGAGAUACAUACAUUCUCCUUAACCUGUCCUCUUUCUCCCACAUCGGGGGAUCAGAGACCGGUGGGUCUUACAGUCUGUGCAGAUGUGUGAAGGGCUGAGCUAUGGUUUAUGAUCUAGGGUUCAUCCAGGUAAGCCCCAACGGGCCUUUGUGUUGGUCCACACCCUGAGAAUCACAUUGUCCAGUGCAGAUUCAACUUCUAUACAAGACAGGCAUUUUUGGAGGCCCUUUGCUAGUAUGCAGCUGUCUAUACAGUAACAGCUGAUUUCACCCCUGCGAGAUUCACAGAUAGUAGAUGACCUAAUGGGUCACCUUGGAGUAAGUGUCACAACACGAGGAGACAUCUACAUCCAGUGCCCUUACUGUACAGACAGGGGGUGAAGCUUAGUGAUAGCGUUUGUCUAACUUGUGCAAGGCCGGGAGUUUGAUUCCCCAGUACCAUCAAGGAAAAAGAAAAAAAAAUCUACUGAAGACUUCGUACAAACUUACACGUCCUACAGAACUACAGAACAGGCCUCUCCCAGCCGCAGCAAGUUCCCUGGUGCUUUCUCCGUGGGAGUCUGGGAAUCACUCUGGUUGGGAUCCCAGCUUUGUCAUUUAUCAGCUGUACCAUCACAGGAUGGCAGUGCUGUGGGCAGACUGCAAUCAUGGCAUUUCAGGACUGCCAGCCCGUGAGUGUCCUGCCUUAAGGAAGAACGGUUCAGAGAGGAAAUGCAGGCCUCUGACCCAGCACCUCCACUCCUAGGCUCUGCCACUUUGGACAAGCUCCUUUACCUCUCAGAGCCUCAAGCUCCUCCCUGUGACUCUGUGGGAGCCCCAAAACCUGUCCUCAGAAACUCGAUGGAGAAACCAAUGCAGGCAGCAGAGAACUGACUUGAACAAGGGCAAGUGGAAAGAAUCCUUCAUAUACCUGGAGAUAAAAAGUCAUAUUUUGGGGCUCAGGGUGUGCACAAGAACCUGGAUUCAAUCCCCAGCACCAAAAACAAAUAAGGGAAAACCCCCGAUCUUCAUACUGCCCAUCAGUGCCUAGCUAUUAUUUUUUCAUUAUUGGGAUCUGAAAGGAUUUUCAUGAAAAGUGUGAUCUCAGCUGGCGGAGAGACAGCGCAUCAGGCCCUGUGAGUCUGUCCAGGCCCAGCUUGACCAGAGCCUGCCCUCUGUGGAAGACAGCAGGAGUUGGGGGGAAUGGAAAUACAACCUAGUGAGCAAAAAAGGCCCAGAAGCUGGAGGUGACAGGGUCCUGGGUGAGAGCAGCAGCUCUGUGGUCAGACAGAUCCUGUCUGUGCCAUUGCUUAGCUGUGUGGAAAGCUACACACCACCACUGGGUGUGCGCGCCGUCUCUCUCACACACCCUGGGUGUAAGUUAUACAACCCAGCAGAGCCAGACUUCCUGGCAUGGGUGAGCUGCCCCUGCUCACAGCUGGUAGCCUUUGUCAUUUCGUCAGGAGGCAGUCACCUGCCUCUUUACCGUCACCUUUGUGUGUAAAACGUGUACACCUUUGACUGAACAAGCAGUGGACCAUACAGGUAGUGAAAUACCCACGUGUUCCCAAACUCUUCCACUUAACCACCAGUGUGAACUUGGACACAAGGCUUAAUUUCUUUUGUCUUUGGUCUCUACAUUGUAAAAUGGGGGCAAUAGUAAUCUGUCCCACAGACAGUGGUGGUGAGGAUUAGUUACCAUAUGGAACUCUUAGAUUAGUGCUUGGCACUGUACACCCCCUUGCACCCAUGCAAAAGCUAGUUUAUUCAUUUUCUCAGCCUGCCAAGAAACAUCUGUUCUCAUGCAUUCCAUAGCCAUCUGUAUCUUCAUAUAAAAUCACGAUGGCUUUUUAUUUUAUUUUAUUUUUAGUAAAAUUGCCAUAUCAGGAAAAGGUACCAGAUUUUUAUCACAUGGCUUUUUGAGACCUGGCAUGGAUCCAGCUUCACACACAGUCACACAUGAGCCUGCGUGAACACACAUGCCCUUGGACACAACACACUCUGAGAGGCCAUGCCACGCUGGGCUGCUUCCCAAAUGGGCUGAAACAAGUCCUCUUACGUGAAGCACUGCUUGCCAGUCUCUGACCCUUGGCCUGCUCCCUGGAGGGAGGCAGGAAGGGGGAAGCCUCCCCGCCUCCCAUGAUAGCAGUAGCCCUGUAUUCAUGGCAGAACAGCCCCAGGAGGAAGUCCUGGCCCCAGCUGCAAGCCUGAGAGGCUCAGCCUUGGUUGUGUCCCAUCCUUGCUGUGCAACCCCAGACACACAGCUUCACCUCUCUGAGACUCGGCUUCCUCAUUUCUCAGAGGGUCUCCCGACUUGUACCUUUCGGGGUUCUGAGGAUUAGAGGGGUGUAGAAAGUGCCUG